GACGAACGCUGGCGGCGUGCUUAACACAUGCAAGUCGAACGGGAGUAUCGAAGAAGCUUGCUUUUAAGAUACUUUAGUGGCGGACGGGUGAGUAACGCGUGAGGAGCUGUCCUAUGCAGGGGGACAACAGUUGGAAACGACUGCUAAUACCCCAUAAGCCGAGAGGUAAAAGGAUUUAUCCGGCAAAGGAGGUACUCGCGUCCUAUCAGCUAGUAGGUGGGGUAACGGCUCACCUAGGCGAAGACGGGUAGCCGGCCUGAGAGGGCGAACGGCCACACUGGAACUGAGAUACGGUCCAGACUCCUACGGGAGGCAGCAGUGGGGAAUAUUGGGCAAUGGGGGCAACCCUGACCCAGCGACGCCGCGUGGGUGAAGAAAUCCUUCGGGAUGUAAAGCCCUGUUGUAUGGGAAGAGCAGAAGACGGUACCAUACGAGGAAGCCCCGGCAAACUACGUGCCAGCAGCCGCCGUAAGAC
rnacentral:rRNA from 1 species